AAAUUUAGGUUAACUAUAAACCAAGGACCUUCAAAGCCCUAAAUAGGUAAGCCCCCCCUAAUUUCUG
rnacentral:tRNA from 1 species